GGCUCGGUAGCUGAGACGGAAAACACUCGUCUAGCAAACAAUAGUCGUGGGUUCGAGUCCCAUCUGAGCAC
rnacentral:tRNA from 1 species